UACGUAGGGUGCAAGCGUUAAUCGGAAUUACUGGGCGUAAAGCGUGCGCAGGCGGUGAUGUAAGACAGAUGUGAAAUCCCCGGGCUCAACCUGGGAACUGCAUUUGUGACUGCAUUGCUGGAGUAUGGCAGAGGGGGGGUAGAAUUCCACGUGUAGCAGUGAAAUGCGUAGAGAUGUGGAGGAACACCGAUGGCGAAGGCAGCCCCCUGGGUCAAGAUUGACGCUCAUGCACGAAAGCGUGGGGAGCAAACAGG
rnacentral:rRNA from 1 species